GACUUGGAUGGUAACAAAUCUGCCUGCAAUGCAGGAGACCCGGGUUCAAUCCCUGGGUCG
rnacentral:tRNA from 1 species